GAUGAACGCUAGCGGCAGGCUUAACACAUGCAAGUCGAGGGGUAACAUUGGUGCUUGCACCAGAUGACGACCGGCGCACGGGUGCGUAACGCGUAUGAAACCUACCUAAUACAGGGGGAUAGCCCAGAGAAAUUUGGAUUAAUACCCCAUGGUACUGUUGGAUUGCAUGAUUCAAUAGUUAAAGAUUUAUCGGUAUUAGAUGGUCAUGCGUUCUAUUAGUUAGUUGGUAAGGUAACGGCUUACCAAGACAGCGAUAGAUAGGGGCCCUGAGAGGGGGAUCCCCCACACUGGUACUGAGACACGGACCAGACUCCUACGGGAGGCAGCAGUGAGGAAUAUUGGACAAUGGAGGCAACUCUGAUCCAGCCAUGCCGCGUGAAGGAAGACUGCCCUAUGGGUUGUAAACUUCUUUUAUAGAGGAAGAAAACGUGAAUACGUGUAUUCAUUUGACGGUACUCUACGAAUAAGGAUCGGCUAACUCCGUGCCAGCCGCCGC
rnacentral:rRNA from 1 species